GUGCACCCCGUAUUUCAUGUCUCGCAACUCAAACCACAUGUUCCAGAUUACACUUUAGACUACACCUCUCUGCCAAAUCCCUUGGAGUUGGAUAGCACUGAAGUGGAGCCUGCAGCAAUCUUAGACCGUCGCUUGGGGAAGAAAGGCAAUGCCGCAUACCUGCAAGUGCUCAUCCAGUGGAGUUCGAUGUCGGAGACAAUGGCAACAUGGGAAGAUUAUAAGGUGCUCUUCAAACGAUUUCCAAAGGCUCCAGCUUGCGGACAAGCCGACGUUCGAGGGGGUGGCAGUCUCACAGCUACGCCUGAUGACACGCUGGCUGAUGAAGAAGAACACAUGGAAGAGCAGAGCAAGUCGGCACCGAGGAGUUUGCGUGUCAGAUUAUGUGUGAGUUGUACUGCAAGCGGAUCCCACUGCCAGCUGUUGUUAUAA
rnacentral:rRNA from 1 species